CGGGAGCCCUCGUGUCGGGCCGUCAGUCGGUCCUCAAGCAGCGCCGAGGGACAUGGCCUUCAUUUGGAGAAGUUGUUUGCUUUUCUGAGCCUUUCAGACUGCUGCUUCAGAGUCCCUGGAGGAGACCUGGUGUCUCCUGGAAUGAUCAGCGAAGUCAGCUUAAACGGCCGCCUCUGAGGGAAACUCAGGGUUUGGAGAAGGGAGAAGGAGAGUCAUCUUCUACUCCAUUAUCUUCUUGGAACGAGGAUAGGAUGUGGAUACAAAUCAGGCCUUUGGAGGGAAAGAGAUCUUGGUUCAGAAUCACCUACCUCAUCAUGACAUCUGUAUGACCUUAGGAACUGUCACGUGCUGUGUGAUCGAAGACACGCCACCCAACUCCUGAGCUGCAUGUGUCCCCUGUGAUAUGGGGGGAGCAGACUUGCUUCCUUGAACCUUCCAACGUGGUAUGACUCAAUGCUGACGCUGAACUCCCUUGGAGCCUGUAGGAGGCACAGGCUUUGAAGUCUGGCAGACAGACAGACUGACAGACUGCUUCAGAGCUUGCUGUCUUUUUGUUUUUUUCGGACCUUUACAGGAUUGUCUCAGAGGGUCCCGGGUAUUUUUGAAAACUUCACAGCAGUUUGGCUGAAGGGCAGUUUUGCCUGCAAUCAGACAUCAGCUGUGAGCAGACCUCUGCAGUGACAGAAAAUGGAUGAGACCAAGAUUUAGGCCUGUAAUUUCCAAACUCCAGGGGCCCAUUUGAUAGAACCGGUUUGCUUUGGCACGUUGAAUUUUUGUUGCCUAAAUAACAGCGCUCCCUCCAAGAACUGGGAUGGCUUAUUGGUCCCUUUGCCAUUUUGCUGCUCUCGAGGUAUGGCUCAAGCAUUUCAGACAGGCCUGCCCCCCUGGCCCCUGGCUCAGGGGCCUGCAGCUGUGUCAAUAGGCCUUUGAAGUUCACACACCCCAGCUGACUGGUCAGCAGCCCCUGGGAUCAUCUUCACCACGCUUGUCACAGGAAAUCAGGAAAGGUAUGUGGAAGCUGGUGUUGCCUGAGAGGCGGGGGAAGGAAGAUGAUGGGGUCCUUGAUGAGAAUAUGGGAGGAAUUUACCCAAAUUCAGUGGUCCAAUUCCAUUAGCGGGGUUUCUUCCUCAUUGCUCUUUCUCCUUCUGGCUCAAAAGCCAUACAUUGAGCUGGUUUAUUUUUAACCUGAUCCAAGUAUGUGCCAACUAGUGCUUUGGGGGGGGCUUUAACACAAUGACAGUAUGUUGUGAUGUUGGUGCUUCUGCAAGAUCUGGAAAGAGUUUCUGAAUCAUCAAAACGUGAAUAU